AGAGUUUGAUCCUGGCUCAGAAUCAACGCUGGCGGCGCGCCUAACACAUGCAAGUCGAACGAGAAAGGGGAGCAAUCCCUGAGUACAGUGGCGUACGGGUGAGUAACACGUGGGUAAUCUACCUCUUAGUGUGGAAUAACCCUGGGAAACCGGGGCUAAUACCGCAUAAGCCCGAGAGGGGAAAGCAGCAAUGCGCUGAGAGAGGAGCCCGCGGCCGAUUAGCUAGUUGGUGGGGUAAGAGCCCACCAAGGCGAAGAUCGGUAGCCGGCCUGAGAGGGCACACGGCCACACUGGCACUGAAACACGGGCCAGACUCCUACGGGAGGCAGCAGUGGGGAAUCUUGCACAAUGGGGGAAACCCUGAUGCAGCGACGCCGCGUGAGCGAUGAAGCCCUUCGGGGCGUAAAGCUCUUUCGGCAGGGAAGAUGAUGACGGUACCUGCAGAAGCAGCUGCGGCUAACUACGUGCCAGCAGCCGCGGUAAUACGUAUGCAGCAAGCGUUGUUCGGAGUUACUGGGCGUAAAGGGUGUGCAGGCGGUUGUUUAAGUUUGGUGUGAAAUCUCCCGGCUCAACUGGGAGGGUGCGCCGAAUACUGAAUGACUCGAGUGC
rnacentral:rRNA from 1 species